rnacentral:rRNA from 1 species
GCACGAGCGCAACCCCCGUCUUCAGUUGCCAGCGGUCCGGCCGGGAACUCUGAAGAGACUGUCGGCGUCAAGCCGGAGGAAGGUGGGGAUGACGUCAAGUCCGCAUGGCCUUCAUGGGCUGGGCUACACACGUGCUACAAUGGCGGUCACAGUGGGCUGCAAUGGGGCAACCCGGAGCCAAUCCUCAAAAACCGUCCCAGUUCGGAUUGCGCCCUGCAACUCGGGCGCAUGAAGCCGGAAUCGCUAGUAAUCGCGGAUCAGAACGCCGCGGUGAAUACGUUCUCGGGCCUUG